rnacentral:rRNA from 1 species
GCGCAGCAGUCGAGAAUUUUUCUCAAUGGGGAAACCCUGAAGGAGCGACGCCGCGUGGAGGAUGAAGGUCUUCGGGUUGUAAACUCCUGUCAUUUGGGAACAAGCGUCGGUACGUAACUACUACCGGCUUGAUAGUACCAGAAGAGGAAGAGACGGCUAACUCUGUGCCAGCAGCCGCGGUAAUACAGAGGUCUCAAGCGUUGUUCGGAUUCAUUGGGCGUAAAGGGUGCGUAGGUGGCGCCGUAAGUGGGGUGUGAAAUUUCGGAGCUUAAACUCCGAAACUGCAUUCCAUACUGCGGUGCUUGAGGACUGGAGAGGAGACUGGAAUUCAUGGUGUAGCAGUGAAAUGCGUAGAGAUCAUGAGGAAGACCAGUGGCGAAGGCGGGUCUCUGGACAGUUCCCUGACACUGAUGCACGAAGGCCAGGGGAGCAAACGGGAUUAGAUA